GUUUUUGUAGUUGAAGCACAACGGUGGUUUUUCAAGCCAUUAGUCUUGGUUAAAGUCCGAGCAAGAAUU
rnacentral:tRNA from 1 species